rnacentral:rRNA from 1 species
GACGAACGCUGGCGGCGUGCUUAACACAUGCAAGUCGAACGCUGAAGACCUGGCUGUUGUUUGUUUGGAUUGGUGGCUAACGGGUGAGUAACACGUGAGUAACCUUCUCUCUUCUUUGGGAUAACGCCCGGAAACGGGUGCUGCUACUGGAUAUUCACUGAUCUUCGUAUGGGGGUUGGUUGAUAGGUUUUUUCUGGUUGGAGAUGGGCUCGCGGCCUAUCAGCUUGUUGGUGGGGUGAUGGCCUACCAAGGCUUUGACCGGUAGCAGGCCAGAGAGGGUGACAGGUCAAAUUGGGAACGGGACAAGGCCCAAACUCCUACGGGAGGCAGCAGUGGUGAAUAAUGCACAAUAGGCGAAAGCAUGAUGCAGCGACGGGGGGUGAGGGAUGGAGGCUUUCGGGUUGGAAAUCUUUUUAGAGAAUGGUCAAGCCGCAACUGUGGGUUGUGGUGAGGGUAGUGGGUAAAGAAGCGCCGGCUAACUACGUG